GGGCAGCCAGUUAAGCCAACCGCGCUCUUUUCCCCAUGGGGGCUCGGUGUGCAAUGGCUGCAAAAUGCAGCCUCCUUGGCAGCACGUGCAGCCUGUUGCCUGUAUAGGUUGCCCUGAGGGACCUUGGAGACAGCA
rnacentral:snoRNA from 1 species